rnacentral:rRNA from 1 species
GAGUUUGAUCCUGGCUCAGAACGAACGUUAGCGGCGCGCCUAACACAUGCAAGUCGCACGAGAAAGGGCUUCGGCCCCGGUAAAGUGGCGCACGGGUGAGUAACACGUGGGUAAUCUGCCUUCGAGCGGGGGAUAACGACCCGAAAGGGUCGCUAAUACCGCAUAAGACCACGACCUCGAAAGAGGAUGCGGUCAAAGCUGGCCUCUAUACAUAAGCUAGCACUUGAAGAUGAGCCCGCGGCCCAUCAGCUAGUUGGUAGGGUAAUGGCCUACCAAGGCGAAGACGGGUAGCUGGUCUGAGAGGAUGAUCAGCCACACUGGAACUGAGACACGGUCCAGACUCCUACGGGAGGCAGCAGUGGGGAAUCUUGCGCAAUGGGCGAAAGCCUGACGCAGCGACGCCGCGUGAGUGAUGAAGGCCUCGG